GUCCACGCUGUAAACGAUGGGUACUAGGCGUCGGGGGAGCGACCCCUCCGGUGCCGUCGCUAACGCAGUAAGUACCCGCCUGGGGAGUACGGCCGCAAGGCUGAAACUCAAAGGAAUUGACGGGGGCCCGCACAAGCGGUGGAGCAUGUGGUUUAAUUCGAUGCAACGCGAAGAACCUUACCUGGGCUUGACAUGCUGGUGAAAGCCGGUGGAAACAUCGGCCCCUCUUCGGAGCGCCAGCACAGGUGCUGCAUGGCUGUCGU
rnacentral:rRNA from 1 species